CUAUUCAAUCAGUGACGAAACAAUCCAUAUAUAUUCAACGUCGCUAGAAUAUGACGUCCUUCCUGGGGACAGUGCCUUAGCUGUCGCCUCCCCUCUUCGACAUGAGAGCUAAGUGGAGAAAGAAGCGCAUGCGCAGGCUGAAGCGUAAAAGGAGAAAGAUGAGGCAGAGGUCAAAGUAAACUGUCCUCUUCGCCAUGGCUGUGACAUCAAAUGUUGCCGACUACCAGACUGGUGAGCACAGCUGAAGACCCAGGACCCCUCCCGGUGUCAGGUCUGAGGCCAGUGGCAUCCGUAUCAACCAGAGGCAUCGGAGCAGCAGCAGCAGCAGCUGAUUGAUGCUGGGGAGCUGAUUCAAGAUCUGCUGGAUUUCAGGCCUUUCCUCUGGGACCUUCUGGACUCUUUGUUCUUAAUUCCUCAACUUUUGUCAUUUUUUUUGUUUAUACUGUGAUUAAAGGUUUUGGUUUAAAAGAA